GCGAGUGAAGCGGCAACAGCUCAAAUUUGAAAUCUGGCGUCUUCGGCGUCCGAGUUGUAAUUUGCAGAGGGCGCUUUGGCAUUGGCAGCGGUCCAAGUUCCUUGGAACAGGACGUCACAGAGGGUGAGAAUCCCGUACGUGGUCGCUAGCCUUUACCGUGUAAAGCCCCUUCGACGAGUCGAGUUGUUUGGGAAUGCAGCUCUAAAUGGGAGGUAAAUUUCUUCUAAAGCUAAAUACUGGCCAGAGACCGAUAGCGCACAAGUAGAGUGAUCGAAAGAUGAAAAGCACUUUGGAAAGAGAGUUAAAAAGCACGUGAAAUUGUUGAAAGGGAAGCGCUUGCAGCCAGACUUGCCUGUAGUUGCUCAUCCGGGUUUCUACCCGGUGCACUCUUCUAUAGGCAGGCCAGCAUCAGUUUGGGCGGUUGGAUAAAGGUCUCUGUCAUGUACCUCCUCUCGGGGAGAACUUAUAGGGGAGACGACAUGCAACCAGCCUGGACUGAGGUCCGCGCAUCUGCUAGGAUGCUGGCGUAAUGGCUGUAAGCGGCCCGUCUUGAAACACGGACCAAGGAGUCUAACAUCUAUGCGAGUGUUUGGGUGUCAAGCCCGAGCGCGUAAUGAAAGUGAACGGAGGUGGGAACCUUUCGGGGUGCACCAUCGACCGAUCCUGAUGUCUUCGGAUGGAUUUGAGUAAGAGCAUAGCUGUUGGGACCCGAAAGAUGGUGAACUAUGCUUGAAUAGGGUGAAGCCAGAGGAAACUCUGGUGGAGGCUCGCAGCGGUUCUGACGUGCAAAUCGAUCGUCAAAUUUGGGCAUAGGGGCGAAAGACUAAUCGAACUAUCUAGUAGC
rnacentral:rRNA from 1 species